UGUCCAUUACGGUUAUUUUUAAAGAGCCCGUUCCACAUAUUUAGGUAUCUGGUUUCCUACUUAGAUCGUGUAAUUAGUAACUGAUUCUGAUUUUUUUUUAACCAUAGUACAUUUUCCAGUAUUUAUUCAGCAUGUUUAUAGUUCAGUACUGGAAAAAUUCUUGCCUGACAUCUGUUCUAGAUUAGUUCCCUAUUCCAGUUAUGUUUUCCUGUUUUAUCAACUGUGGUGAGGAGAGAAGAAAGCCAUAUUUUAAAGAUUUCUGCUAUUGAAGUGUAGUAAAAUGAGUAAAUUGUCUUAUUUUUUUCUAAUCUCUGAAAAAAAAUAUUAUUUUAAAUUCCCCUGUUAAGUCACCAUUUUAACAAGCAACAAUAGAAAAAACUGGAUAGAAGUUGCAAUGUAUUUACCAUAGCACCAACACUUUUUUUGUAGUUGUGAAAUUGACUUUUUUAGCUUUUCAAACAUUUUUUGAGAGACUCUUGUCUCAGACUCUUUUCAAAUGUCUUUGUGUUCCCGGUGUCUCGGGCCUCUGACUAUUUCUUUGGAUGACGUUACUGAGCCCUCAAAACGGUUCUGUAUCAGAGUAAGCGCUCUGGAAAGCAUUUGAUGAAUCCAUGAAACUGGGUUGUAAGAAGCCUGUUCAGAAUAUUCUCUUUUCUGUAUUCUUACCCACCUGCAGCCUGCUGAGCCUUCUGUGGUCAUUUUACUCAUGGCUCAGGCACAAGAGGUGAGGAGAAAGUCCAUUCUACAUGGCCUGUGCACCACUGGGCCUUCCCUACAGAGACUUCGGGAUGUCCCUGGGUCACUCAUACUGACACCUGUGUUCAAAUGUAGAACCAAUUUAGCCAUUCAAAGGAGUUGUUGCACUACUUUGUGUGUCCACACAGGUGUGUGUGUGUGUAAUUAAGUAAGUAAUUUAUGCAUGUGUUUGUGUGGUUGCGGGAGUGUAGGUUCAUGUCCGGGGUGGUGGCUAGAGGUCUAGCCCUCUUUACUUCUGUCGUUUUUUGCUGCAGAGUUGACAGACUGGGCCAGACUAGCUUAGCUGGUCAGUGAGCUUUGAGAAUCCUGGUGUUUCCACCCAAGGCUCCCAGAUCAGGGAUUAUAGAUGUGCACCAUUACUGGUAGUGUGGCUUUCUACGUGGGUGUGGGGGAUCUGAACUCAAGUCCCUGUGCUUCCAUGGCGUAGACUUUACAGCCAGAACCAUCUUCCCAGCUCCUUCACUACUUUGAGACUCCCACUCCCCACCCUCAAGAAUUCAUCUCUGGUUUGUCUCUUUGUUUUGAUGAACCAUUUGUGAUGCCUUUGCAAGAUUUCAUUCUCCCCUAUUUUCUUCACUGCCCCUGUCCUUGGUAUAUAAGUGCUGGCAUCGGUGGCUUCCUCCUACGUAGUUGUAGACCUCCAACCAUGCCUCUCACUGUACUUUCUGGCCCUUUAUGCUUCUCUUCAAGGCCUUCAAGUCACUUAUGUAUGUGCCACUGGCAGGCUGUGGGUACCCUUUUCUGGACUCUCACCUGCUGCCCUUCCCCCCUCACCUGCUGCCCUUCCCCCCUCACCUGCUACACUUUCCCCAUUCACCUGCUGCCCUUCCCCCUCACCUGCUGCCCUUCCCCCCUCUCACCUGCUGCCCUUCCCCCACUCACCUGCUGCCCUUCCCCCUCACCUGCUGACUUUUCCCCUCUCACCUGCUGCCCUUCCCCCACUCACCUGCUGCCCUUCCCCCCUCUCACCUGCUGCCCUUCCCCCACUCACCUGCUGCCCUUCCCCCUCACCUGCUGACCUUUCCCCUCUCACCUGCUGCCCUUCCCCCACUCACCUGCUGCCCUUCCUCCACUCACCUGCUGCCCUUCCCCCUCACCUGCUGACCUUUCCUCUCUCACCUGCUGCCCUUCCCCCACUCACCUGCUGCCCUUCCCCCUCACCUGCUGACCUUUCCCCUCUCACCUGCUGCCCUUCCCCCACUCACCUGCUGCCCUUCCCCCCUCACCUGCUGCCCUUCCCCCACUCACCUGCUGCCCUUCCCCCUCACCUGCUGCCCUCCACCCUCACCUGCUGCCCUCCCCCCUCACCUGCUGCCCUUCCCCCUCACCUGCUGCCCUUUUCCCCUCACCUGCUGCCCUUCCCCCCUCACCUGCUGCCCUUCCCCCUCACCUGCUGCCCUCCACCCUCACCUGCUGCCCUCCCCCCUCACCUGCUGCCCUUCCCCCUCACCUGCUACCCUUUCCCCCUCACCUGCUGCCCUUCCCCCCACUUGCUGUCACCUCCUACUCUUCCAGAGAUGACUUUCUCCCUGACACAGGUUCUCUCACCCUGUAGCCAGGCUGGCUUCCAGGUUGUGGCAGUUCCUGCUUUCCAAGGCUGUCGCACCUGGGCACCCUUGUCCCCAGCUCCUUUCCUGGUUUCAGAUACAUCUCAAAGCUGGUGCCCACACGAAGUCGGCUUCUUUGUUAGACAACUAGGGCAUUUUCAUGCUGUCCUUGUCUUUUUCACGUAGCUGCAUAUCUCGGAGUUGCUUCCCUAAUAGUGGAGGGAAUCCUAGAUGUCUUCCACUUAAUAAUGUGUCUUAGUGAAUGCCCCAUACGGCUAGCAGUGUAUCCUCAUUUACCUAGCUAGUCCUGUGCGGAUAGACAUUUGGGAAGUUGCAAGUCUGUAGUUAGAAGUGUUGCUGCAGUAAGUACAUCGAGGAUGAUUUCAUCCUUGUGCAAAUAUAUUUAUAACAUUCCUAGAAGUGGGUUGCUGGGCCAAAGAGUAAAUAUGGUAGUAGCUUGAUAAACAGGGCCAAAUCGCCCUCCACAGACAUUGUAAAGUCCAUACCUCUCUUGAAAUAAAGGCAAAUACCAAUUAAUACCAACUAAUGCAAAUUCUUGGCAACAAGGCAUAUUUUUUAACGUUGGGAUUUUUUUCAGCCUGGUAAGUGAAAACUGUUGGUGUGGUUUUACUUUCUGUUACUCUUCUGAGUAAGUGUGAGAACCUUCUCUUAUGCUUAAGAGCCAUUUCUCUUCCCUCUUUUGUGAACCAUCUUUUAGACCCUUUGCCGUGUUUCGGGAGAUGGAGGGGAUUAAACAUCGCUGUGCAGUCUCUGUUACAGUAUAAAUAUCUGCCGGUGCGAUCUGAAUUGCACCACAUUCUCUUAGUUUUUCCUUUGCCUUUGAACUUUGCUCCUGGUCUUGUGGUUGUGUAGAGUGUAAAAUAUAUGGUUUUAUUUGCCAGCAUUCACUUCAGGGGCUUCUGGAAUUUGUCACUUAGAAAACCCCACUCCAUCUCAGGUUUCUGAAGGAUUUCAUUUGAUUUGUAUCCUUCUGUUAUUUCUACUUUAGGUUUUAAUAUUUGAUACAUUUGUUUUGGUGUUUGGUAUGGAAGCAGCCCAGGGUAGUAGUGUCGUGUUUUCCUAGUGGCCAUCCAGUGGCCCCAUUUGUCAGUAGUCUACUCUCUCCCGUUCGCUGCUUCUGCAAGCAGGACUGAUUCAUCCACUUCCUGUUUACACCUGUGCCGUGGUGACUGAACAUGAAUACACUCCUGCUUUUCCUCCGGCCCGCCGAGCACCUCUGCAGUAGUGCCACUGUCUUUCACGGUGCUGCUCAGCCUUCCUCAACAGCCCCAACAGCCUGAGUGGAUCCAGGCUUCCCAGAAGGCUUGCCAGUUCUCAUGGGGCCAGAGAUCGGCUCCAAAGGAAUCCUAAAUAUACUAAGGUUCAUUCAUAAGACUUCCAACCCAAGGUAGCCCCCUGGUUCUCGAUGGUCACUGGGAACCAGCUCUCUAGAAGCCGAGCUGCACUAUCAGAGCCCUCUACUCCUGAGGUCUGGCUUGCUUCUUUUCAUGUAGAAUUCCCUCUCCUGCCACCUCUGCUUUGUCCGACUGAGUGGGCUUUUACCUCCUCUACUUUCCAGGGGAACCAAAAUGGCAGAAAGCAGUGCCAGUGCUGGUGUUCGCAUUCUGCACGGGCCAGCUCCGGAGCCCUCUUUUUCCUCCACUGGAACUGUGGCUGGGGAUGAACCUCUCAUUGAAAGAGAACCACUUUGGUUUUCACUCUGGCUUUGUCCUCCCAGGAGAGAGUGUCCAGACCACUAGAGCUAAAUCCACUCUAUCCUUGGCUCCUUUCAGUACUCUUUAAUAAAAGACUUCCUUCCACUUUGAACCACUGCCCCAGGCAUCGUUCUCCAAACCUGCCCAGGCCACCUUGCCUGUUCUUUAUGACUGAGUCUUACUUUUUGAUCCUGUUUGUUAUCUCUGCCUUCAGACUUCCCUCUGAGGGCACUGGUACACUCUGCCCUGUAUCAGUUUGGCUUAGAAGUUAUUUUGGUCAAAUAUACUUUAUGCAAAUUGAUUAACUGGAAAAGUUGGUUAAAGCGACAACAGUUUGCUCCAAAAUGUAUCUUAAACUAUUAGGUUUUGAGUGGUAUCAUUAAUCCAUUGUGGACUCCUGGUUGAAUACUACUGGCUCAUUCUUGAGACUUUUUUUUUUUUUUAAAUCACCUUUAAACUUUUAGCUACAGCAGCAUGGUGUUGCUAACAUCAAAAAUGUUAAGGCAAGCCAGCUUAGCCAUUCAACAGCCGGAGGGAGUUGGACAAAUGUGAUCUUAACUAAGAAGCAGUAGAGGCUUAUUUGGAACGAAUCAAAACAUCUAGUUGCAAGAUAAAACCAAGUUGGCUCGAUUGUUUUCUAGUUUCCUUCAUUAAAAAGGUCAUGCUUAUACAGUACAGGACACUCAGAAAAAUAUAGAUAAGGAAUAGAAGGACAAAAAAAGGAGAGAGAGCUGCAAAUAAGUUUAUGAAUAAUGUAUGCUGUCCUCUGUGAUUUGAAGACAGUUUACUGCCAUUACUUGCCCUGAUUGACCCUCGAGUAUUAUUUUAUCAUCUUUCCCCCACCCCCGAUGAGGUUUCUGUUUCUUUUUGCCUCUUGUUUUACAACUGUGGGCUAGCACAUGUUUGAUAAAUUAUAAUUGGAUUUAACCUAUAGGUUGCCAUUCUCUCCCCUUUUGUCCAUUCUCAGCCUGGAUGCUCCCGGCACUCCCAUUUGCUGUAAGAAGGACUGUUUGUAAAUGAAACCUUUCUUCCAAACCCUUCUCCCCAGUUCCCAAAGGGGACCAGCUAAGAAUUCUUGUGGAAUCCACUCUUCCUUCCUUCCUCCCUUCCUUCCUUCCUUCCUUCCUUCCCCUCCCCUCUCUCCAGAUGAUAGUUUUGAAGUUCAUGCUUGCUACAUAUUAUUUAUAUAAGUUAAAUAGUAGAAGUAGAUACAAAGGAAUAGGUUUGCCUUACAGUGAAUGCAGUUUGCCACAGUGAACUCCUUCGCAGUGGAGGGAGUUACUGCUCUUAGAGACAGGCACUUGCUGUGGACUCUGGGCUUAGUCUUUAGCCUGAGCUUCUGCUGUUUUAGCCUCUCAAGUGCAGGAACAACAGGUCUGUACCACUACUGAAGCAUGGAGGAAAAUGACUGAAGAGAUUGUCUCUAAAACAGGGUUUCCUGAUCUAUGUUCUGUGCUGCACCUGAGCCCUAGUCCAUAGCAUGUAAGCUCACCGGUUACCACAUCUCUCCAGAUCCAAACUAAUGGUGGAGUGGAUCAUUUUCAAAAUGAGGCCCUAGAAAGCUGUCCUCUUUGCAGUUGCUGUGCGAGUUGCUUACUGUUCUUGCUACAAAGUGAGUUCCAGGACAGCCAGGGCUAUACAGAGAAACCCUGUCUCAAAAAACCAAAAAAAAAAUAAUUAUUUUAUUUGUGUGUGUAUGUAUAUAUGUGUGCAUAUUUUUGCAUGCCACCAAGUGUAUGUGUGUGUGCCACAUGUGUACAGAUGCCCACAGAGGUUGGAAGAGGCAUUGCAGCCCUGUAUUUAGAGUUACAAAUGCUUGUGACCUGCCACAUGGGUGCUGGGAUCUGAAUCCAUCUCUCUAGCCUUUGUUAAAUCCCCCCCCCCCCAAGUUGAUAGAUCAAGCGAGUUCCUAUGUCUUAUAGCUGACUUACAAGUUCAUGAUGGUAAGUGAGCAAAUAGUAAUCUCAAAGCUCAGCCAUCUUAGCUAUGAUCAUGGAAACAGUGCAGUUGUAGACUUGGUGUGGAGUGAAAAUGAUGUCACAGGAGUACUCAGCAUGCAUGAUGAGCUCUUCGGGAGUACUCAGUAUCAUGAUCUCCUCAGGAGUACUCAGCAUGCAUGAUGAGCUCCUUGGGAGUACUCAGCAUUGUGAGUUCCUCAGGAGUUCCUCGGGAGUGCUCAGCAUUGUGAGCUCCCCAGGAGUACUCAGCAUUGUGAGCUCCUCAGGAGUGCUCAGCAUUGUGAGCUCCCCAGGAGUACUCAGCAUUGUGAGCUCCUCAGGAGUACUCAGUGUCAUGAGCUCCUCAGGAGUACUCGGCGUCACGAGCUCCUCAGUUUGUGCUGUAGUGAUAGGUACUCCAACACCUAUUCUGCUUCAGAUGAUUAUUCUAGACCAGCAUGGGAAAUCCUAUUUCUUUUGCUCACUAAGCAUCAAGUAAGUUAUUUUAGCCAAUAAGACAUGGAGAGCAAUGUGGAGGACAGAGGUGGCCAAAGGCUUUCAGGAAGCAAUUCCUUGACAUUAAAUGAGGGGAGAGACAGGUGGCUCCUCUUUAUUUUGAUGUAUGUGAGUAUCCUGACUAGAACUACUCUGGCCAUCCUGGGCUGGCUGCUGAGAAAAGCCACUUGGAGAUGGAGUGAACCUCAAAGAUGUCAGAGCCAAGGGCGGCAGAAACCUGAGCUUGACCUUGUGGAAUUGCUGACCACACUGUGCCUUUCCUCUGAACUUGCAGUUCUCUGAGAUAACACAGUUCCUUGUGUAAGUAUUGAGAUCUGGGACCUUGCCACUUGCAGUCAAAGCAUCCCGAGUCCCAGGCAGGUCCAAGCCACGAGGACUUGAUCCUAUUCUGAUAGCUUUCCUCUUAUCAGAGGGUUCCCACCCCCAUCUAUCUUCUGACUUCAUAACUUGGAUGCAGAGCCUAUCUGGCCAUUUCUUGCCUCUGUCUUCUCUCAGUGCCAUGUUGUAGACCAGGGUUCUUCACGGAAAUCAGUAGGGAACAAGACAGCAGUUCUGCCUCCACAGAGCCUUUUGGCUCUAUGUAUCUUAUGGUGGGUACUUCCCAUUUGCCAUUCAUUCUUGCUUCUGAUUCUGAUGCUGGCUUUGAUCUUGGACCCCUGUGCUUGGUACCUGAUGACUAGGCCUCUAGAUUGGUAUCUUGUUUUCCCUCUCUUCUUCCCCCUCCUCCUCCUUUUGUCUCCAUUCAUCCUCCUUUAGUGACUAGAUGCUGUAGUAGGGACAGUGAAUGUUUUCUGGGAGUGAAAAGGAAUUUAGUGAAAUAAGCAACCACCCAGCUAUUUGUUUAAGAGUCUAGAAUCUAGACCCUUAAGGUCAGGAGGAAGUAGGACAGUAUUUGGUCUACUUCUCACCCUGCUCCUUUUAUUUGAGGCAAACAACAAGCAGCCCCCAAAAUGGUCUUCACUGUGGCCCCACCAUUGACUACCUGAAACUUUGAGCAGAUCCAAGAAGACAUUGGAUUUCUUCUUUCAAAUUUGUUACUGUCUAUUUCCCCCCUAUUUCUAUACAUAUUAUGGCUUAAAUGGAAGACUAUGAACUUGGUAAAAAUUUUAAAAAGUAAAGAAAAAUCUGCUACAGUUUAGUUGGGUUUUCUGAUUAUUUUCCAGUGAAUUAAUGUUAGGUAUUUAGGAUGAGCUCUGUGUAGCUUAUUAGUUUGUUUGGGAAAGGCCGUGGGGAUGAUGUGGGGGGAAAAUACAAGUAGGAAUGAGAUUUGUAUUAUUGUUCACCAAAAGCCAGGAGGAGGAGAAGGAAGAGGGGAAGGGGGAGGAGGAGAAAGAGGAAGAAGAGGAAGAAGGAGGAAGAGGGGGGAGGAGAAGGAGGAGGAAGAAGAGGAGGAAGCAAGAGGGGGAGGAAGAGGAAGAGGAAAAAGGAAGAGGAGGAGGAGUAGGAGAUGGAGGAAAGGAGGAGGAGGAGAGGAAGAGGAAGAGGAAGAAAAGAAGAAGAAGAAGAAGAAGAAGGAGAAGACGACGACGACGACGAAGACGAUGAUGACGACGAAGACGACGACGACGACGACGAAGACGACGACGACGACGAAGACGACGACAACAGGGCCAUACAUUACAAGAGAAGUAAAGGGCUGGGUGCCAGGCUUGGGUCUCAGUUUCUUGUUGGACCAGAAUUUCUGGUCAGCCAAAUUAGGAGAUAGUGAAAUACCCCCUCUAGUGGCGAGGGGCCAGAUUCUACACUUGGCUGUUGUGGUGAGUGCUGGAGUGGAUGAUUUUUAAGGUGUCUGUUUGCUAAAAGGAAUCCUGAGUCCCUGGAAUUAAGAUCUUUAGCGUAGGUUUCCUUAUUGGGGAAACACUGGGAAACACGUUUAUUAGGAUAAAAACUUCCUGGGAAACAUAGAGGUCAAGGUAGUGGGGAGAUGUUCAGUGUCCAUUUUUAUGAAGGUCAUGGAAUGGUCCUGAGUUAGACCAAUAUUGCUAAACUUAUUAUUAGAAUGAAAUGAUACAGUAGGUGCCUUUCUAAUUCCAUCCAGAGAGAGAGAGAGAGAGAGAGAGAGAGAGAGAGAGAGAGAAUAUUAAAAGUUGUGGGUUGGGUCUUCAGGGUGGUUCAGGUGACAAAGGCACUCUCUGUUAGAGCUGAUGACCCAGACUCAAUCUCUGGAACUACAUAGUAGAAAGAGAAAACAUACUCAAGAAAGUUGUCCUUUGAUCCUCACAGUUGUGCCCCGGCACAUUUGUGUUCACACAUGCACACACAUAUACACGUAAUAAAUAAAAAUAUUAAAAAUGACAGAGCCGGUAAUGCCAUGCCAUAGCAUUCAUCUACAUUCAUGUAGCAUACUGGCUGUAGAUUUCUGAAGUAUGAAUUUAAUUGGAAAUCUUUAGUGGUAAUUCUGACCACCAGAUAUUUAAUUUUCAUAUUAGAAGUGAUUUAAUUUCUGCCUAUAGAAAGGCAGUGAAGCUAAGUAUACUAAAUAAUAUAUUUCCCAAGAUUUAGUGUACUUGAAAGACGUCUCAUGUUAUGAAUGUAUGUUAUUGAUAAUAGAGAUUGUGAUUGUUUAUAAAUUUCAAAGGCCAGUUCUCUUUUUUUAUGUGCAUUCCUUGUUCUGUGUGCAUCUGUGUGGUGUUCAUGCCACAGCAUACAUGUACAGUUCAGAGGACAAGUUGUGGGAAUUGGUUCUCUCCUCCCAUCCUGUAGGUCCUGGGGAUAAAACUCAGGUUGGCUUGAAAGCAAGUAUUGUUACCUAUUGAGCCCUCUCACUGGCCCAUUUAUUUGGUGAUUGUUUUAAUUCCUACUUGCGAAUAAUUGUUUUUAUGCUCAUUUAAAGAUUUUUGAAGAGGUAAAAUUUCAGAGAACAGUGUUUUUCUGACACUCUGAUAUAACCAAGAAAAUUUAAAUACAGCACUGUCUCUAGUAUAGAAAAAAGUGGCUAAGGUACAAGAUGAUAAACUAUGUAUUUAAUGGUAUGCCAUGUAUGUAUGUAUGUAUGUAUGUAUGUAUGUAUGUAUGUGUUUAUUUAUUUGUUUGUUUGUUUAUUUAUUUAUUUAUUUAUUUAUUUGAUACAGGUUUCUAUUAUGUAGGUCUAGAUGGUCUGGAAUUCACUACAUAGUCCAAGCUGGCCUCGAACUAAAGAAGAUCCACUUUCCUGUGCAUCUGGAGUGCUAGGAUUAAAGGCAUAUGCCCCCACCCCCAGCCUCAAUUUAUUCUUUUUAGAUGUUAUAUUCUUAUCCUCAAGAAAGUUGAGGCUUGAAGAAGAGAAACCUUUCCAUACUUUUUAAUAUGUACGGUAGUAUUUCUUAUUGUUACAGUAAUAGUAAUUAUAAGAACAUACAAACGCAUACUUUAUGUGGACAUGGCCGAGGGGAGAUUGUGGCAUUCUGACAAGGGUUUUUGUGGAGCAGGAGUGCUCAGCUUGUGCCUGUACCCCAUGGAGGUACUUGGUCUCUCAGGCAAGAGGAACUAAAGGAACUAGGUCUGGAAGGAGGUCAGGGUCAGCUGGUGGGGAAACCCAGGAACUGGAGGUAGAGGUAAGUUAGCAAGGAACUCACUCAGUAGAGUAAGUGAGGCCAGUGAGAGUGAGAGGAGGACUCUGCUGGGCGAGUUCACAGAUAAUGCAGAACUUAUUCAAAAUGGCUUGUUCGUGUCUAUGGAAGAAGUAAACUGAUUGGGCGACUCCUACUGAAUCAGUGCAACUGUAGUAAGGUUGUCUGCAGGAAGUGACUUGAUCUCAGAGGCAAAGAGAGAUCAUUGUACGUUAGUGACUGCUUGCUUCUAUAUAUAAAAGUUGGUAUUAAGAAGUGAUAUGAUGCAAAACAACCCUGAGAUUCCACCUCACACCAGUCAGAAUGGCUAAGAUCAAAAAUUCAGGUGACAGCAGAUGCUGGCGAGGAUGU
rnacentral:lncRNA from 1 species